GACGAACGCUGGCGGCGUGCUUAACACAUGCAAGUCGAACGAGGUCCAACCCUUCGGGGUGAAGACCUAGUGGCGAACGGGUGCGUAACACGUGAGCAACCUGUCCCGGACUCUGGGAUAACACCGGGAAACCGGUGCUAAUACCGGAUGCCCUCAUCGGGCCGCAUGACCUGAUGAGGAAAGAAUUUCGGUCUGGGAGGGACUCGCGGCCUAUCAGCUAGUUGGUGGGGUAAUGGCCCACCAAGGCUUCGACGGGUAGCUGGUCUGAGAGGACGAU
rnacentral:rRNA from 1 species